AAAAGAAACUAACAAGGAUUCCCCUAGUAACGGCGAGUGAAGCGGGAAGAGCUCAAAUUUGAAAUCUGGCAGUCUUCGAUUGUCCGAGUUGUAAUCUAUAGAGGCGUUUUCCGUGCCGGACCGUGUCCAAGUCUCCUGGAAAGGAGUAUCAAAGAGGGUGAUAAUCCCGUACUUAACACGACCACCGGUGCUCUGUGAUACGUCUUCUACGAGUCGAGUUGUUUGGGAAUGCAGCUCAAAAUGGGUGGUGAAUUCCAUCUAAAGCUAAAUAUUGGCGAGAGACCGAUAGCGAACAAGUACCGUGAGGGAAAGAUGAAAAGCACUUUGGAAAGAGAGUUAAACAGUACGUGAAAUUGUUGAAAGGGAAACGAUUGAAGUCAGUCGUGUUCUUUGGAUUCAGCCAGUUCUGCUGGUCUACUUCCUUGGAACGGGUCAACAUCAGUUUUGUCCGGUGGAUAAAGGUAGUAGGAAUGUGACUUCUCCGGAAGUGUUAUAGCCUAUUAUCACAUACACUGGGUGAGACUGAGGACUGCAGCUCGCCUUUAUGGCCGGCCUUCGGGCACGUUCGAGCUUAGGAUGUUGACAUAAUGGCUUUAAAC
rnacentral:rRNA from 1 species